rnacentral:rRNA from 1 species
UACGUAGGGUGCGAGCGUUAAUCGGAAUUACUGGGCGUAAAGCGUGCGCAGGCGGUUUGAUAAGCCAGAUGUGAAAUCCCCGAGCUCAACUUGGGAACUGCGUUUGGAACUGUCAAACUAGAGUGCGACAAAAAAAAAUAAAAUUCCGCGUGUAGCAAUAAAAUGCAUAGAGAUGCGAAGGAACACCGAUGGCGAAGGCAGCCCCCUGGGAUGACACUGACGCUCAUGCACGAAAGCGUGGGGAGCAAACAGG